UCGUUAGCCGUUAGCGGAGCCUGGCUAUUAGGCAGCUAUGCCACCUUGCUCCUGGGUAAAGUAAAUCACCCCUUCCUUCCUAGUUCAGUGUCUGAGAGAUCCGUUUCCUGAGGCGGUUCCUGCUUUCGUAAGUGCAUUCUAAAACUACGACUCCAGUAAUACUAUUGACCUUAUUUUUCUGAGUAAGGAGAUCCAGACUCUACAUUUCAUUCAGUUCUUCUGAAAAAAAUGGAGAAAAACACAGGAAGAAGAUUCAAAGCUGAAUGAAGAAAACUUGGCUGAAUGGGAAAGAAAAGGAGGAGGAAAGAAAAACCAGAGUGAGGUCAUGAUGACAAUAUUUGAACACCUGGAUCCAAUUAUGCCAGAGUCAGCACUAGCCUAACUUGAUUUCCGGUUAUUGAUACUGGGAUGCUGAAAUGAAUCUUAGAGGACAUGAAAGAAAACCUAAGAUCCAUGUGACUUCUGAAAUAAUUUUGGACAAUUGAGGCAAGAACUUAGAAGAAAAAAAUUAUACAAUUCACAAGACAUUUUAAUACAGUCAAUUUUGACCUAAAAUGGUGAUAAAAAUAAAUUAACCAAUUAACAGAAGUAAAAUAGAAUUUGAGAAAUAUAAAAGAAACCAAAAUAAAAAAAACCCUGGCUGAGUAUAUUGGUUCAAGCCUUUAAUCCAAGUACUUUGGGAGGCCGAGGUGGGUGGAUCACUUGAGGUAAGAAGUUCACACCAGCCUGGCCAACAUGGUGAAACCCCGUCUCUACUAAAAACACAAAAUAUUAGCGGGGCAUGGUAGCACACACCUGCAAUCCCAGCUACUUAGGAGGCUAAAGCACGAGAAUCACUUGAACCAGGGAGACAGAGGUUGCAGUAAGCCAAGAUCGUGCCAUUGCACUCUAGCCUGGGUA